CGAGCGUUAAUCGGAAUUACUGGGCGUAAAGCGCAUGCAGGUGGUUUGUUAAGUCAGAUGUGAAAGCCCGGGGCUCAACCUCGGAAUUGCAUUUGAAACUGGCAGACUAGAGUACUGUAGAGGGGGUAGAAUUUCAGGUGUAGCGGUGAAAUGCGUAGAGAUCUGAAGGAAUACCAGUGGCGAAGGCGGCCCCCUGGACAAAGACUGACGCUCAGAUGCGAAAGCGUGGGGAGCAAACAGGAUUAGAUACCCUGGUAG
rnacentral:rRNA from 1 species